rnacentral:rRNA from 1 species
GACGAACCACACAAACGUUAUUCGGAAUUACUGGGCUUAAAGGGUGCGUAGGCGGCGCGGAACGUUGGGUGUGAAAUCCCUCGGCUCAACCGAGGAACUGCGCUCAAUACUACCGUGCUCGAGGGAGACAGAGGUGAGCGGAACUUAGGGUGGAGCGGUGAAAUGCGUUGAUAUCCUAAGGAACACCCGUGGCGAAAGCGGCUCACUGGGUCUCUUCUGACGCUGAGGCACGAAAGCUAGGGUAGCGAACGGG